CCUACGGGAGGCAGCAGUGAGGAAUAUUGGUCAAUGGGCGCGAGCCUGAACCAGCCAAGUAGCGUGAAGGAUGACUGCCCUACGGGUUGUAAACUUCUUUUAUAAAGGAAUAAAGUGAGGCACGUGUGCCUUUUUGUAUGUACUUUAUGAAUAAGGAUCGGCUAACUCCGUGCCAGCAGCCGCGGUAAUACGGAGGAUCCGAGCGUUCUCCGGAUUUAUUGGGUUUAAAGGGAGCGUAGAUGGGUUGUUAAGUCAGUUGUGAAAUUUUGGGGCUCAACCCUAGAAUUGCGGUUGAUACUGGCAGUCUUGAGUACGGGUGAGGUAGGCGGAAUGCGUGGUGUAGCGGUGAAAUGCUUAGAUAUCACGAAGAACUCCGAUUGCGAAGGCAGCUUACUAAAGUGCAACUGACGUUGAUGCUCGAAAGUGUGGGUAUCGAACAGGAUUAGAUACCCCAGUAGUC
rnacentral:rRNA from 1 species